rnacentral:rRNA from 1 species
GACGAACGCUGGCGGCGUGCUUAACACAUGCAAGUCGAACAGAAAGGCCCUGCUUUUGUGGGGUGCUCGAGUGGCGAACGGGUGAGUAACACGUGAGUAACCUGCCCUUGACUUUGGGAUAACUUCAGGAAACUGGGGCUAAUACCGGAUAGGAGCUCCUGCUGCAUGGUGGGGGUUGGAAAGUUUCGGCGGUUGGGGAUGGACUCGCGGCUUAUCAGCUUGUUGGUGGGGUAGUGGCUUACCAAGGCUUUGACGGGUAGCCGGCCUGAGAGGGUGACCGGCCACAUUGGGACUGAGAUACGGCCCAGACUCAUACGGGAGGCAGCAGUGGGGAAUAUUGCACAAUGGGCGGAAGCCUGAUGCAGCAACGCCGCGUGCGGGAUGACGGCCUUCGGGUUGUAAACCGCUUUCGCCUGUGACGAAGCGUGAGUGACGGUAAUGGGUAAAGAAGCACCGGCUAACUACGUG